GGGAGGGGAACAACAAGUACGGAAACGAUGCUAACUACCCAUAUGUCUUUCGAGUAGAAAUGGUAUUUUUAUCCGCCUAGAGAGAAGCUCGCGGCUGAUUAGCUUGUUGGUAAGGUAAGAGCUUUACCAAGGCGACGAUCAGUAUCUGGUUUUGAGAGGACGAUCAGACACACUGGAACUGAGACACGGUCCAGACUCCUACGGGAGGCAGCAGUGGGGAAUUUUCCGCAAUGGGCGAAAGCCUGACGGAGCAAUACCGCGUGAGGGAAGAAUGCCUAUGGGUUGUAAACCUCUUUUUUCAGGGAGGAAUCAAAUGACGUGUACCUGAAGAAUAAGCAUCGGCUAACUCCGUG
rnacentral:rRNA from 1 species